rnacentral:rRNA from 1 species
CCUACGGGGUGCAGCAGUGAGGAAUAUUGGUCAAUGGCCGGAAGGCUGAACCAGCCAAGCCGCGUGAAGGACGAAGGUGCCAAGCAUUGUAAACUUCUUUUGUCAAGGGACAAAAUCAGGCUCGAGAGCCUGACCGAGGGUACUUGAAGAAAAAGCAUCGGCUAACUCCGUGCCAGCAGCCGCGGUAAUACGGAGGAUGCGAGCGUUAUCCGGAUUUAUUGGGGUUAAAGGGUGCGUAGGCGGGCUGUUAAGUCAGCGGUAAAAGCCCGGGGCUCAACCCCGGCGAGCCGUUGAAACUGGCUGGCUUGAGAGGUCGAGAGGUAGGCGGAAUGCGCAGUGUAGCGGUGAAAUGCUUAGAUAUUGCGCAGAACUCCGAUUGCGAAGGCAGCAUACCGGCGGCGAUCUGACGCUGAGGCACGAAAGCGUGGGUAUCGAACAGGAUUAGAUACCCCAGUAGUC